ACUAUAUCUCAGGGGUAGAAUACUUGCACUGCAUGCAGACAGUGCAGGUCAAAUAACCUAGUAUGUACUGGUUAGGCUAGAAAAAACUUCUGUCUGAAAUCUGGAGAUCCAACAUUGUUGACAACAAUGAGCUAAAUGAAUCAGCUGCCUCCAUAUAUGGCAGUUUCCCCCAAUAUUUACCUCAGAGUAAGGCUACAGAAUUAGAGAGGUGUUUUUUUUCCAAUUAGCAUGUCAAAAUGUCCCAAUCUGGUGCUGCUUGAUGUUUUGUAACCCUCCCAGACUGUCCUCGCUGCAGCCAGAUCCCCACAGUCUUUCACAAUAAGUUAAAACCUGCCACAAUGUGAUUUUUACCUGUCAUUUUUCACAGGGUGACAGUUUCUUCUGGAUGUGCCCCCAUGUGGCAAAACUUGAGAUUUACCACAUUCCAGAGAACAUGAACAAUUUUUCUGGAUGAUUUCAAGGCCUGAUCAUUCAGAACUUUGCAUCUGUGGGUGCACUUUUGGAAUGAUUCCUAGGGGAAGCCCAUAAACAGGUUGCAGUUACAACUUAGAGUUUCUCUGGCAGCAGUUCUUCAUAGGAAGAAAAGAAGGAAAGAGGCAUAUAGCCCAGAGAAGACUAAGGAGAGGCAUGAUAGAACCCUUCUUAGAUCAGGAGGCCUGUCACAGAGAAGAUGGAGCAGGCUUACUCUAGUAGGCCAGUGGAAAUGGUUGGCAAUCAGAUUUUGGCUAAACUUUAUGAGAAAGUUAUGGCAGUGGAACAACAGCAUGCCUCAAGAGAAGCAGAGGGCACGUGGUCAUCUGUCAGGUACACGUGUAGCUGCCUCCUACAUUGUAAACAUAGGGGCCAACUCCUAGGGGCUGAGGUCCCUUUGCGCCUGCCCAAGGCAAUGUCAUUCAAAUGGUGUGGGUACAUCCUGUCAUGUGAUUGGUUUUGCAGGGUGGGGCAUAUUUUCCUUCCCCCCAAUAUUUUAUUCAAGUUGGCACCCCUGAUUGUAAGAUCUUGAACUGAACAGAGGCUUGGGUUAAAUGACCUCUCCUUCCAACCCCACAAUAGGAAGGGGGAGGGCGAGAGGGAAGAAGGAAGGAAGGAAGGAAGGAAGGAAGGAAGGAAGGAAGGAAGGAAGGAAGGAGGCUGUGGUAAUUCCACUCAAAAGUGAUAGAGGCAUCGCUGAACAUCUGUGUAGCAGUAUUGCUAUUUGGGAUACAUCCUUGUAGUGUGGAUUUAACCUCACACUGAGAGAAGCAAGUUUUGGCUGCAGAAAGAUACCACCUACGCAUAUGUAAGAAAAGGCUGGCCUUCUGUUCUGGUCAGUAUGCACAGCUACCUACCAAAUGCACAAGAUUGCACUUCUACUAGUCAUACUUAGAAUAGAAUCCAGUCAGUGAGACUGUGCUCUGUGUGACUGACUGCACAUCCACACCUUAUAUUUAACACAUACACAUAACUUUUCCCCAAAGAAUUCUGGGAACUAUAAUUUACAGAGCCCAUGGAGCCCUUUUCCUCACAAUUUACCUCGCAGCGCUACAAUUCCCAGAACCCUUAACAAAUUACAGUUCCCAGGAUUCUUUGGGGAAAGCUAUAAACAUAUUGUGUGGAUCCAACUUCAGUCUGGAUCUAACUCUACGUUUCUACUGCCAGUAUCAGUUUGAUACCAUUCUACAAUGGGUAGUCUUCCACUACUUUCUACUGAUCGCAGACUCAUUGAAACUAAUGGCAAUGAUCAACUUAGGUCUAUCAGUUUUAAUGGGUCUGCUUUGAGUAAAAUGUAGCUGGAUACCACAUUUCCUUCAGCCCUGACAUUAGAAAAUCAAAAGAGCCUGAUGGAUUAGCCGUGUCUAAAAGGUAAAGGGACCCCUGACCAUUAGGUCUAGUUGUGGCCGACUCUGGGGUUGCAGCACUCAUCUCGCUUUAUUAGCCGAGGGAGCUGGUGUACAGCUUCUGGGUCAUGUGGCCAGCAUGACUAAGCUGCUUCUGGCGAACCAGAGCAGCGCACGGAAACGCUGUUUACC